rnacentral:rRNA from 1 species
UGGGAAUUUUGGACAAUGGGCGAAAGCCUGAUCCAGCAAUGCCGCGUGUGUGAAGAAGGCCUUCGGGUUGUAAAGCACUUUUGUCCGGAAAGAAAUCCUUGGCUCUAAUACAGUCGGGGGAUGACGGUACCGGAAGAAUAAGCACCGGCUAACUACGUGCCAGCAGCCGCGGUAAUACGUAGGGUGCAAGCGUUAAUCGGAAUUACUGGGCGUAAAGCGUGCGCAGGCGGUUUGCUAAGACCGAUGUGAAAAUCCCCGGGCUCAACCUGGGAACUGCAUUGGUGACUGGCAGGCUAGAGUAUGGCAGAGGGGGGUAGAAUUCCACGUGUAGCAGUGAAAUGCGUAGAGAUGUGGAGGAAUACCGAUGGCGAAGGCAGCCCCCUGGGCCAAUACUGACGCUCAUGCACGAAAGCGUGGGGAGCAAAACAGGAUUAGAUACCCCUGGUAGUCCACGCCCUAAAACGAUGUCAACUAGUUGUUGGGGAUUCAUUUCCUUAGUAACGUAGCUAACGCGUGAAGUUGACCGCCUGGGGAGUACGUCGCAAGAUUAAAACUCAAAGAAUUGACGGGGUCAUAGCUGUUUCCU